ACUAAAUGUAUUUGUAAGUCGCUCUGGAUAAGAGCGUCUGCUAAAUAACUUAAA
rfam:Salmo salar isolate Sally breed double haploid chromosome ssa09, whole genome shotgun sequence.